rnacentral:rRNA from 1 species
GACGAACGCUGGCGGCGUGCUUAACACAUGCAAGUCGAACGGAAAGGCCCUGCUUUUGUGGGGUGCUCGAGUGGCGAACGGGUGAGUAACACGUGAGUAACCUGCCCUUGACUUUGGGAUAACUUCAGGAAACUGGGGCUAAUACCGGAUAGGAGCUCCUGCUGCAUGGUGGGGGUUGGAAAGUUUCGGCGGUUGGGGAUGGACUCGCGGCUUAUCAGCUUGUUGGUGGGGUAGUGGCUUACCAAGGCUUUGACGGGUAGCCGGCCUGAGAGGGUGACCGGGCACAGUGGGACUGAGAGAGGGCCCAGACGCGGACGGGAGGCAGGAGUGGGGAAGAUGGCACAAUGGGCGGAAGCCUGAGGCAGCAACGGCGGGUGGGGGAUGACGGCCUUCGGGGUGGAAACCGAUUUCGCCUGUGACGAAGCGUGAGUGACGGGAAUGGGUAAAGAAGCACCGGCUAACUACGUG